CUUUAUUUAUGAUAUUUUUGAAAAGUGCCAUGAUAAGAUCAGUGUUGAGAUAGUAGACAUUACAAUAUUUUUAUCAGUUAUCAAAUCACACGUUUGGAUGAUACAUACACAAACAUCAUCUCGAGGAGGAAAAAACUAAAAAUAUUUAAAUUAUCUUUUCUCUGUCAAACCAAAAGUCAUGAACCCACAAUGAAGACGAAUUAAAAUUUACAUACUUAAUUAUUUUACAUUUCCACAUGUAUUUUGGUUUGUGACUUCAUUUAAAGGAUGUGAACUUAAGAGAAAAAUAUUAAAAAUAUGAGCUAAGAACAUGUGGUAUCAGAGCCAGAACUAGGGACAGAAAGCUGAAGUUGUUAAAGAUAGCAGAGGAGGUGGUUUUUGUUGUGGUAGUUGUGGUUGAUGCUUUAGUUGGGGUUGAUGUUGCUGUAGUUGGGGUUGUUGUUGCUGUACUUCGGGUUGUUGUUGGUGUAGCUCUGGUUGUGGUUGGGGUAGGUGUAGUUGUUGCUGUAGUUAUGGUUGUUGUUGCUGGAGUAGUUGUGGUUGUGAUUAUUGUUGUGGUUGUUGUGGUUUUGGUUGUGUAAGUUGUGGCUGUAUCUUUAGUUGAGGAUGUUGCAGGAGUUGUGGUUGUUACUGUUGGAGCUGAGGUUGUUGGAGGGGUUGUUGUUGUUAGGGGAGUUCUGGUUGAGAUUUGGGUUAUAAAGGUUGUUGUUAUUAUUGGGAAAGCUGUGGUUUUUGUGGGUGCAGCUGUAGAAGUUGUUGGAGCAGUUGUGGUUGUGACUGCCGCUGUGGUUGUUGUUGGACCAGUUGUGGUUGUUGUUGGAGCAACUGCAGUUGUGGCCGCAGUUGUGGUUGUUGUUGGGGCAGUUGUAGUUGUUGUUGUAGCAGUUGUGGUUUUGGGUGCAAUUGUUGUUGUUGGUGGGGAAGCUGUGGUUGUUGUGGCCGCAGUUGUGGUUGUUGUUGGGGCGGCAGAUGUGGUUUUUGUUAGGGCAGCUGUGGAUGUUGUUGGAGAAGCUGUAGUUGUGGGCACAGUUGUGGUUGUUGUGGGAGGAGAUGUGGUUGUUAUUGGAGCUAGUGUGGUUGUGGAUGCAGUUGUGGUGGUUGUUUGGGGAGCUGUGGUUCUUGUGGGAGCAGUUGUGGUUGUUGUUGGAGCAGUGGUGGUUGUAGUUGUCCCGACACUUGUGAUUGUUGUUGGAGCAGCUGUGGUUGUUGUGCGAGCAGAUGUUGUUGUUGUGGGAGCAGUUGUCGUUGUUGUUGGAGCAGCUGUGGUUGUUGUCUUGGCACUAGUGGUUGUUGUUGGAGCAAAUGUGGAUGUUGUUGGAGAAGUUUUGUUUGUUGUUGGGGCAGUUGUGGUUGUUGUUGGGGCAG
ensembl:lncRNA